rnacentral:tRNA from 1 species
AUCCAGAUGUGAUCUGUGGCUUGAGCCAGCUUUAAAUGAAUCGUAGUUUUACCGGUAUAGCCUUUUUGUGCGG